GGGUGCGAUCAUACCAGCAUUAAUGCACUGGAUCCCAUCAGAACUCCGCAGUUAAGCGCGCUUGGGCCAGAGUAGUACUGGGAUGGGUGACCUCCCGGGAAGUCCUGGUGUUGCACCCU
rnacentral:rRNA from 1 species